rnacentral:rRNA from 1 species
AUUGAACGCUGGCGGCAUGCCUUACACAUGCAAGUCGAACGGCAGCACGGGAGCAAUCCUGGUGGCGAGUGGCGAACGGGUGAGUAAUAUAUCGGAACGUGCCCAGUCGUGGGGAUAACGUAGCGAAAGCUACGCUAAUACCGCAUACGAUCUAUGGAUGAAAGCGGGGGAUCGCAAGACCUCGCGCGAUUGGAGCGGCCGAUAUCAGAUUAGGUAGUUGGUGAGGUAAAGGCUCGCCAAGCCGACGAUCUGUAGCUGGUCUGAGAGGACGACCAGCCACACUGGGACUGAGACACGGCCCAGACUCCUACGGGAGGCAGCAGUGGGGAAUUUUGGGACAAUGGGCGCAAGCCUGAUCCAGCAAUGCCGCGUGCAGGAUGAA